UCAAAAAUUAAACUCAGUUACCAAACUAAUUGUUAUAACCUAAUCUAAUCAAGCAACUCGUCUAUAACCCAUCUUUUUUGAUGAAUGUGUCACAAUCAAAAAUAACUUAAAAUAAGAAGGUAUUGGAAUAUACUUUAUAGAAAUACAUAAAUGACAUACCAAGCAUCCUUAAGUACAAAUAUGAAUUAUUGCUAUGAUAGGCUAUUCUAUAUUGUACCUAGAAUGUUGCAUGUUGAAUGCAGUUAGUUGAAAAUUCUAAGAUAUGUACAAGCCAAAACAAACAAUAUAUUUAUAAAUUGCCUGGAUGAAUUUCUAUAAAAAAAUUGAGUUUUGUAGUAGUAUAGAUACUUAAAAAAAGAAUUAAUUGUACAAUUAAAUCUUGUCCCUUAGUUAUACAAAGGAUAAAUAGGUGGUUUGUUAACCAAUACUAUCCAUUAUUAUUAAGGAGACCCCAAUGCAUGAGGAUACUCCCACUAUAAGGUAUGGAGAGGGUUACGCUUGUGUGCAGAGGCGUUGCUUCCGUA
rnacentral:lncRNA from 1 species